CGCACGGUGUCCUACGGAGCAACAGCUGCCAGUCAGACAGCAGUGGCUUUCUAGAGGAGCCAUUCGUCCCCCUUCUCAUCAAGCAGGCGUCACCAGGAGCCGACCUCAUCCAGGUCUCACAAGUACACACUCAGACCCCCUGUAUGCAAAUGAUCCACACUGGCUGGGUGAGAGACAUAAUAGAUCUGUGUCCUCUGUUUGGUUCCAGGCUCUGUCCGGCCUGUCCGGGGACACUGAGACGCCACCCCCCCAUACCCCUGCAUCUCUCACCUCGUCUGCUGUUGACUCGCCCAGUCUUUCACCAAAGCCUUCAUUAGACUUUGACCCCUCCCCAUGUCCAUUCUCCUUGUGUCUCCCAAACUCUGACCAGCACAAUUCAGAGAGGGAAACACAACCAGAACCGGAUCAGUCUCCAGCUGCUUCACUCUCCACGUCGGUGUGUGAGUACUCUCAAGAGCUUGCAAUGCCUGCUGCUUCUGUCCUGACUGAGGACAAGGAGACACUGUCCUCCCACGUCCCUGCUGUACUGCACGGCUCCGAAGGCCCAGCAUGCUCUCCCUGUCCAAGUGUUGCUCCUCUUGCCUCAUAUCCUUUUCCUUCUCCAAAUUUGGAUCGUCCGUUUUCCCUGUCAACCGUUACGUCUUGCACGCGGUCGGCCUCCUCUUCCAGGAGUCCAGGCGACCCUCAUUCAGAACAGACUGGAGUGGCUCUGCACAGAAACUCAUCAUCGCUAUCAUCUCAGCUUCAGCCAUCUGCCCCCCAUGAUUUUCAUUGUCCCACCCCACUAAAAGAGACCCUCUCGCAAGAUGCGGAUGCGGAAAAGCAUCAUAGGGAUUCCGUGUUGGAAGACUCCGAAGCAAUAGGCCUCUCUGAUCCAUCUACCAGUUCACAGAAGGAUGAGGAAGAAACACCCUCCUCUCUCUCCUUCCAGUUGGAAAAAGACAACGUCUCUGCUUCAUCCUCUCUCAUUCUGGUGUCCUCUGAGGACCCUUCCUUUCCAGUUGGUCAUCCUGCCUUGCAGUCUCAUUUAGGUGAUCCGGAGGGUCUGAUCGAUCCAGCUGCUGCAGGAACCUCAGACCUUUCAGCGCUGUCCACCUGCCGACGUGAUAUUAGCACAGAGCCUGCUCCGACUCCCCGAGCCCAAGACAUGAUUCAUGAUACAAUGAAUCUCUUCUUCUUGGACUUUGAAGACACCGACCAGAGGUGUGGAAAGGGAGCAGCAGGGGCUGAAAGGCUCACUGACACUGUGCAGACGCAGAAGAAUGUUGUUUACAUCUCAGAUACAGAGAGUUCUGGGGGCCUGUCACAAGGUUGUAGAGUAGUCUCUGAGGAAGUAUGUAACCAAACAGAAAUAGAUCCACAGCUCCUAUCAACUGGAACCCAACCGGAACAUUGUCAGGGAGGAGGUAUUGGCUCGGAAAACAAAUCACUCAGCAGUUCUUUGAUUUUACAUAAUUGUAGAGCUGAAGUUCAACCAAAGGAUCUAAUCAAGGUUGAGAGCUUAGAUGAGAUCUUCCAGACCUCCGUGGAUAGUUCUGAAGGUGACACUGGAGAUGUGGAUGCCUUUUUUCAGCAGCUUGAUACUGAAGGACGAGCCUAUUGGGCAGAACCCAUCCAGGUUUCAAAUCCGAGUCCUGUACUCGAAGAGUCAGUCAGCGUCGAAAGCUCAGGCGGAUCUCCUGGGAGUUCUCCGUUGCCUAGUGGCCCAGCUCUUCUGGACCUGAUGCCCUCCACCGGCAGAGCUAUGCUUUUGUCUCCGUCAUCCUCAACAACGAUGGACACUGACCAGAUGUCAAGAAAUAAAGCCGCCUCCCCAGUGGCCCCAGCUCCGGUCCCGACCCCCUCCUUAAGCCCAGACCUCAAGACAUCUAGCCGCUCCGUUUCUGUCCAGAUGUCUUCUUCCCCAUCGUCUCAUAUAGUCCAGCGGAAGGACGUUCCCUAUAUUACGGACUCUAAACGCACGCUUCUGUCUAGUUUCCUCUCUUUGGACACGUCCACCCCUUUCCGUGCUGUGCAGUCAUGGACUGACCUUCAGAUCCAGCGAAGCCCUCUCACCACCAACUUCUCUCAGUGGGGCCUUCAUACUUCCCCAAAGGAUGUAACCGUAUGCACUAGUGCCACAGAAACAUCACAUGACUGUGAGCAGACUGAACAUCAGCACACCACGUCGCUCUCUGUGGACAAAGGGCUGUGGCUUGAUGAGGAGGUGGACAGGAACGGAUAUGAAGAAGAGGGCAAGCUCUGGCGGGAGGAUCACAGGGCCACCACGUCGUGUUGCUGCUCCUGUGACCAUCAGUGUAACGGCGCCACUCAGAAGAGAGACAACAUUCCUUUCUCCCUGGAUGAGCUGGAGGAGAUGAUGCAGUGUCUGCAGCACUUCUGCUCUGUUCUCAGCGACAUGGAGGAGCAGCUCUCUGAGGACCAGGCGGCGGUUUACGGCGCCCUCUCUGACCCGGACAGGGAGAUGGUCCAGGACGUAGAGGAGCUGAGGCGGGCAGUGAAGCAGGAGGCUGGACAGCUGGAGAUGCAGUUGAAUGAACUGGCCGAUCAUUAUGAUGACAACUUGAAAAGGAAGAUGCACAGGCUGUUGGAUGAGCAGUCUCUCCUCUGCUCUCAACUCAAAGUCUCUCUACCUGGGGCGGGGCCCACGGCGCAGAGACCCGCCCCCAAGCGGACAGCUGCCACUCAGUGCUGUCCAGUGGAGGAGCAGCGCGGCCCCCCGUCCGCCUGGAGGGGCUGGGAUGUGAGCUCCCUCCUCCAGUCAAAGUGCAUCUGUGAGGCCCGGGGCAAGAAGGACCAGCUGGACAUGAUGGCUGUCCUCCAGAGAGUGCGGCACAUCAUCUGACUCCAUCCACUGAAGAAGAAAGGACUUCUGUUGUCGCACACAGUGGCUGACAAUGGUUCUUGAGAAAGGGACUACUUUAUCAUUUUUUUAAAUAAAAAGGUUUGAAUGCACUUUGUAAUGUGCAUGUGUGCAAACUAUGUAUUUAAAUUGGCCUCGGCUCAAUCUCCUGGAAGUAAUGUUGGUGUGUCACACAUGUGUAACAUGGUGGCGUGAGGGUCCCGUGUGAUACCGAAGGUAAACGUUGUCUGGCGUUUCCACCAGUGUGAUCUAUCUAUGAAUAUCAUGCCAUCAAUGUUUCAGGUUGACUCUCGGACCUGAAACUAAUGCAGCAUAGAGGCGACUGUGUUUGAUGCUUAUCUACAGUAGAUCCAUGUAAGAGUAAGAUGAGUUAAUGAAGACAACAUAUGACUAAAAUAAACACUUAUGUAUGUUUAUGUACUCUGGGUCUUUGUGUUAACAUCUAAACACACACACACACAACAGGAAGCACCAAUUUCCAGAGCAUCAUCCCCCAUUGAGACUUCAAAAGGCGUCGGUUGGAUCGGCGCGUCUCAAGAGUGUUUUGUAACAAACACGGUUUAUAUAAGCUGCUACAAAAAGCAACAUAAGUGUGUCAACGUUGCGUCACUUCUGUUCACGUCCACCCCGAGGAUGGCGCUGCGCCCCUCGUACUCGGUGGAGGCCUGCAGCCCGGCUGACGAAAAGAGGAGAUACUGGUGGAGAACAACUGAGGAGUGGAGCCAGCGUCCAGAUCGACGAGCAGCUCAAGCAUUGAGACUUCAGUGUUGUCGUGUAUGUGACAUGUUUGUCCGUUUUUUAAAGAAAAUGAAGGUUUUUCAAAAAUUGGGGGAUUGGUUGCGAUUUAAAUGGACAACAAACAAAUGUCGAAUUUUGUGCAAGCAAUUUAAGGUCGUGAUUCUCGUCCCAAAGAUGUUCGACUUCAUUCAGUGAUUCAGCAACUCCACACUGCUAGAGCCGCCUCUCUCUCCUCUGUCCUCGUCCUUCUGGACCUCUCUGCUGCAUUUGACACGGUCAACCACCAGAUCCUUAUUUCCUUCCUUCAGGAACUUGGUGUCUCAGGCUCUGCUCUCUCCCUUCUCUCGUCCUACCUCGACGGGCCACACCUACCUGGGGUCGUCGUGGCGCAGGGGUUAGAGAAGGUGUGCUGGGAAGCACAAGGUUGGUGGUUCCAGUCCAGGCUUCCCCAUGCUCUAUGUCGAAGUGUCCCUGAGCAAGACACCUAACCCCUAAUUGCUCCCUGGGCAAAAAUGUGAAAAGCCAUGGGAUUAAAGUGUCGUGUAAGUCGCUUUGGAUAAAAGCGUCUGCUAAAAUGACCUGUAAUGUAAUGUAACCUGGCGAGGUGUCGGAACCUUGUCCUCUUACUACGGGAGUUCCUCAGGGUUCCAUCCUGGGUCUCCUCCUUCUUGCUCUAUACCAGCUCGCAUGGCUCAGCUAUGCCGAUGACACCCAACUAAUUCUCUCCUUCCCUCACUCGUCUGAGUGACAUCUCUCAGUGGAUGUCCGCCCACCAUCUGAAAAUCAACCCCGACAAGACUGAACUACUUCUAUUUCCGGGAAAAGAUUCUCCGACCCAGGACCUGACGGUCAACUUUGGCAACUCCGCGCUAACACCCACUUUGACUGCUAAGAACCUCAGCGUGACACAACAAAUAAUUGGAGUAAUCAAGUCUAGAAGUAACAAAUGCAGAGACAGGAAGUUCCAAAUUAUGGAUAUAAUUUGCAGGUGGAUCAAUUCCAUCCAGAGAAACUAUUUCACUAAACAAUUGAUUUGGGAGGUGCUCUGGGCCUAUCAAGAUAACCUCUGUUUAGUCUGAGUUUAACAUCAGGAAGCUUCAGGUCAUCCAGCUUUUUGUGUCCUUAAGACAUUCUUGAAGUUUGGCGAGCAGGUUGGUUUUGUCUGGCUUUAUUGAUAGUCCUUUGUCUGACGCAAUUAAUAAAUUGUCAUUUUCACCAGAGCUGUGGCUGUGCUGCGAUGCGCUCCCGACUCUAUAGAGAGGCCGAUAGUUAGCCAACACCUCUGGAAGAAGUUUAAUUACAGCUACCUUGAUCAUCCACUAAAAUGACCUCAUCUGUUUUAAAGACACAACUUGAUAAGAACUAUGAAAAUUCAGAAUACGGACCUGGGGCCAUUUGCAGUGUAUUAUUUUCCAAAAGCAUGGCGGUGAGAAUUCAAACACUCACGAGAGCUACUGCAACAAGCUGCCACUCACACGUCUAACAGAUAUGGAGGAAUUGUUCCUGAAGUGAACUUUAUUUCGUCCAUUGUUACUGUAACACACCCAAGGAAGCAAACGACUUUAUGGGGUUGACCUUUGUCUUUGUUCGUAUAAAAAGUCACCAAGUUGUUUCAACAUUUUGAACAGCCCAAGUAAGAACAAUUCACCAGCUGUAAACAUACAACAUCGUUUGCGCCUCGCCCCCCCACACCGGGACAGGAAACCCUCCAUGAAAAAGAGGUUUUGAUAUCUGCUUUGAUUCUUGUAUGUAAGGGUCCAUACAAUGAACAAUGGUGUGACUUUAUGGCUUCUUCUGGUCUCCUUUUUACACAUGGUAUAGGUGGAUCAUUCAAUAGCGUAGCACUUGUCAUUGUGAUUAAAACACACUGGCAC
ensembl:lncRNA